rnacentral:misc_RNA from 1 species
GAUGAAGAACGUAGCGAAAUGCGAUAAGUAGUGUGAAUUGCAGAAUUCAGUGAAUCAUCGAAUCUUUGAACGCACAUUGCGCCCCUCGGUAUUCCGUGGGGCAUGCCUGUUCGAGCGUCAUUUAACCCCUCAAGCCUAGCUUGGUAUUGGGUGCUUGUCCCGCCUCUCGCGCGGCGACUCACCUCAAAGUCAUUGGCAGCCCGCAUCUCGCCGGCCGUGAGCGCAGCACAGACGCGCUCUUGGCAACGACGGAUCGGCUCUCCAAAACCUUAUUUCAACCACUGACCUCGGAUCAGGUAGGGAUACCCGCUGAACUUAAGCAUAUCAAUAAGCGGAGGA